UGGACCAAUCUCACAGGACAGAAUCAUUCAUAUCCUGGUAGGUACUAACCAGUAAGCGAAACUAGAAAUUCCGCAUCUUUUUUUCCCCACAAUUUCGCCAAAGAAUCUGCAAUCAUUCAAUCGCCAAGCGAGAAAAUUUGUACAAUUAUUGUAAUUAUACACUCGAUCAAUCCAAUUUCUAUCGUAUAAAAAAAAAUGCCUUACAGGAGAGUCAUGGAGGUGGAGCCACCGAGUCCGAUAAGAUACCUAAUCGGCGCAGCAUUAAUGAUGAUUGGAGUGGUGUUACCCGUCGGUUACAUGAUGUUUCGUAACAAGCGGGGUCCUUCUUCUUCCUCUUACUCCAAACAGACGGCAAAGUUUUGAUAGCGUGGUAGUGAUUGAAAGAGAGAGGGAGAUCUGGUGCUGGAUGAGUUGAAGAGUUUGAAGAAGAUGCAAGAAAAAGAUGAGUAGCUACCGUGGAAACAGCUACCAUUUGGAAUUGAAAUGCUUGGUGGUGAAGACAAUGCAGGAUGCACAAGGAUCAGAAACAUUUUAGAUUCUUACAGAAUGAUUUUUCAUGGCUCAGUCUCACAGAUGUGUUGUGGUUCCAUCUCAGAGAAAAAGCAUAAUACAUGAGGGUGUGAUGAGAUCAAAGUGGUGUUAACAAGAUUGGUCAGAGCCGAUAAUCUUUGCUGCUCUACCCUCAUGAAUGGAGGCGUCUUAUGCAUUUACUCACUGUUAUCAUCUAUUGAAACCAUAUCCUCUCAGGAACAAGCUGCCAGGAUGUUGAAAUUUUUUUUUAUCAGAUUUCCAUGAUGUUGGUUUGGUUCUAACUUCUAAGAUCUGUUACAAUAUAUUUGAGAACUUGACUCAGGAGUGGAUCAAUUUUGUGGAACUCCGACUGUGUUUAUACUC